AAGGAAAAAAUUUCAGAAAAAGCCGUCGUUCAAAAACUGGCACGAAGAUCUGUCAAAAAAGCAAAAAAAAUCUUAUUAGCGAAACAAAAGAAGGAGACUCAGAUGAUGACAUCGCAGCUCCAAGUAAGGUCCACUUCUGUUUUGCACAGUAAACCUGACGACGACACAUCGGACGAUGAAGCCAGACCAAGGCGUACAAUUCCACAUUAGGCGCAAUCGUACAUACGCGAAAAUGAACUUGCAGUGCAACGAUAAAUUCCGGAGAAAGCAGUCUAUAAAUUCUUUGAUAGAAGAAAGUGCACACCAGAUUUAACUGAAAUGUUUGAAAAUAUAGAUAGGAGUAGACUACAACGCAUGUCCAGUGCAAUAUGGAAGACACCACCGCGUUAUUCCAUGAUGGAAAACGAAUAAAACAUAUAAUUUGUUAAACUCAAUGUUGUUGAUUUCAAAUUGUGCCUUAGAGCAGGAAUACUUGCCACACCUUGCGUGUAAUAUAGAAAUGAUGUUACAUUGCAACUAUCGUUAAAAUAUGUAUGUGUUCUUAAAAUAUACCAAUGAACGUAAGACUAUUUCACUUUUUAUAUUUUCGAAUGAUCAUAGACAUAUAUUAUUUUUGUUAUACUAAUCAAA